UUAUAUCCCAUACCACAAUGUAGUCCGAUUUGGUUUUGCUUUUCAAAAAUGUUUACUGGUGUUCAUCACAUCAGUGCACAGAGUACCCAUUUCCUACUAGCUAGAGGAACAGAGAAAGACUGAGAGAGAGAGAGAAAGAGCUCUUCAUUAAAGUAGAUCUUUCUAAGGUAUUUGAUUAAUUCUUGGAUUUGGUUAUUUGAUAGAUUCAUCUGCAGUUGAUCAUCUUAUUCAAUUUAAUUUACUUACUAAUGAUGUUUUAAGUUAGGGUUUUGUGUUUUUGUUCUUAGAAAUUUGCACUAAAUUUGAUUCAAUUUGCUAUUUUAUCUUUAAGAUUGGUUUCAUAGACCAUUUCAUCAAUCAUAAUUAUAUCUAUAUAACCGAUAUCAUCUGAUAUCGAUGAUAAACUAUAUAAAAUCCACCAAAUUGAUACUCUCUGCACAUUAUAGCAAAUGUAAUUAUAUUGAAUUAAAGCAAUUACGGAUAUCACAAUUAUGGCUUUUGAUAAAACCAUAUACAGCUUGCACAACUUUGUUUUCCAAAAGUGUUUACUAAGUUCCUUCCUUAGUCAGGCUUGUUUUAAUUGUGUUAACACAAUUAAGAUUGUAUCCAUCUAUUAAUUAUUAAACGAAUGGAGUGAACUUGCUAUUUGUUGAUUGCUUGCAUACUUUGAUGUUGUCUAGGGAAGCUUAUGAGUUCAUGAUAGUAUGCAAUAUGGAUGCCUUGGCAGCUGCUGCAUUAUCAUAUGGCUUUGAAGAGAUCCCAAGUUGGUAAGAUCCAUUUCCUUAGAGCAAUCCCAAUGGGAGGGCAUUUGGGAAGGGCAGUGGUAUGAAAUGCCCUUUCAGCCAAAAAAACCUCUCCCAAUGGAAUGGUGGGUCAAACAUUCAACGGUCAUCAAAACUUCCAAUGUCAUUUGAGAGGGGAGGAAAACGCCAUUCAAAAUGACAUGUUAGUGGUAUAAGACGGAAUACAGUGUUCUGUUUCAACACUUUUUUGGAACUCCAUGUUCCGUCUUAUUCACUUUUAUUUUGAUUCGGAACUUCAAGUUUCGUCUCAACUAAAUAUUACAACUACGUUUGUAAUACCGGAACUCUGAGUUCCGUCUUAUUCACUUUUAUUUUGAUUCGGAACUUCAAGUUCCGUCUUAACUAAAUAUUACAACUACGUUUGUAAUACUGGAACUCUGAGUUCCGUCUUAUAAAGCUUUUUAGUUUUACAAACUGACAUGUCUGUAUUUUACCAUUGGCAGAAUUUUGAAUGGGGUUUUGACCACUCUGGGCAUAAGGUGACUUUAAAAGUGGUUUUACCUAUGUGGCACCUACGUGGAGGGCACCAAACUGCCCUCCCAUUGGGAUUGCUCGUAAUAAUAAGUUCUUGUGCCUCUUUGUGUUAUGUGAGCUGAAAAAUUGUGUUGAGGUUAAUUUUGAGACUGUUCACAUGCCUAUGGUGUGGUGUGAUUUAUAAUAGGAUGAAGUUGAAGACCGGAGAAAAAAUAUUGAGCAAUUGUUUAGCUUUGGUAAUAUCCAUCAAUCAAACAUGUAUGGCACUAUGAACUCCUUAUGGCAUGAGACCCACCAAGAGUACCAUGUGUACAUCAUGUGUACGACAGUCUAGCUGAAAUAGCUAGUCUAAAAAAUCUUAUGCCACCUCAUCUUCAAACGUGUUCCAAGUUUGAGAUACUUACUACAUGCAUUUCGCGAUGUCGCACGAUUGCACUCAACUUCAAUUGUUGUGAUAAAGUUUGUAUUUUUAUGUAUUGCAAAUGCACACGCAAAGUUGAACCCACGUUUACCACUUGGAUACUAUGGUAACGCUUUUGGACUAUCUCUAGCACUUAGAAGUUACAACUGCUUGUAUACUUUGUCAGAAUCAAUUAGGAUAUUCAUUGGAAUUAGUUCGAAAAGCCAAAGCUGAUGUAACUGACGAGUUUAUGAAAUCAACUGCAGAUUUGUUAGUAACAAAGAGUCGACCCAACUAUACAAAUGUCUGAACCUAUGAAGGGUCUAACGUUGCACAUAUAGGGUUCAAGGACAUUGUUUUGGAUGGGGUAAGGCACGGUGGCCAAAAGUGUUUACUAAUUUCCUUCCUUAGUCAGGUUUGUUUUAUUUGUUUUAACUUAUAUAGUUAUAUUUAUGGCUUUUGAGAAAACCAUAUACAACUUGCACUUGCUCUUUGUUGAUUGCUUGCAUACUUUAAUGUUGUCUAGGGAAUUUUGCCGGUUCAUGAUAGUAUGGAUGCCUUGGCUGCUGCUGCAUUACAUAUGUCUUUGAAGAGAUCUGAAGUUGGUAAGAUCCAUAUCCUUAAUAAUAAGUUCUUGUGCCUCUUUGUGUUAUGUGAGCUGGAAAAUUAUGGUGAGAUUAAUUUUGUGAAUGCCUAGAAACAUGCUUAUGUAUUUUAAGCCUGGAAAGCCCAACUUUCCUGGUUUUAUGACUUCUUGGCUAUAGUUUUUGUUCUUAUGUUUUAUGUCUAAAAUAACAAAAAAUUUCAUCUAUUUAUUAUUAAACCAAUGAAGGAUAGUUGUGCUAGCUUCCUCUGGGAUUAGUCCCAGUAAAUAAAAAUAAAGGUAGAACAGACCCCACAUAAAAUUUCAUCUAUUUCAUCUAUUUCCACUAAUGAACAUAACAUUUUAUUCACGCUAUUAAGGGGAGUUUUAAAGGACAUGAACAGAGAUUCCCAUGAACUUAAAAUUUUCAGCUAGCAUCAUAGGUAGGUUCCUUAUUCACGUAGUACAUUCAAUAUCUGUACCAGCUUUGUUCAUAAAUGAAUACAUAUGAAUGAAAGCAAGACUCAAAUGAUUUAUGUUUUGGCAUUCUUCACUGAUGCUAAAACAUGGUUGUUGCAAUCUGUUUUUAUUCUCAUGUUAUUUUUCUGGUGGUGAUCAGCAAAACAUCCUUCUAGAGAUGUGAUACAGUGAAGGACAAGUUCACACCAUUAUCUUCCGUUAUAAGUUUCUCAAUUUCCGCAGCAAACCUUUUCAUCGCAGGUCUAGGCAAACUUACCAUUGCAAAAAUCCCAUCCUCAUCUUUGUUGUUUGUUAAUGAUUGAAAGAAGCAUUCGCCGAUAUAGGUUGAUAUGGGGCCACCAUAUAGUGUUUUAUCCAAUUCAAAUCAAUGUCCUUGAACUCUAUAUAUGCUACGUUAGACACUUCAUAGGUUCGGACAUUUGUAUAGUUGGGUUGAUCCUUUGUCGUCAGUUACACCAGCUUCGGCUUUUUGAACUAACUCCAAUGCAUAUCCUAAUUGAUUCUGACAAAGUUUACCAACAGUUGUAAAUGCUACCGGUAGUCCAAGAGCGUUACCAUAGUAUCCAAGUGGCAAAGGUGGGUUAAACUUAGCGUGUGCAUUUGCAAUACAUAAAAAACGAACUUUAAUUUAUCACAAGAAUUGAAGUUGAGUGCAAUCGUGUGGCAUCCCUAAAUGCAUGUAUCGAGUAUUCCAAACGUGGAACAUGUUUGAAGGUGAGGUAGCACAAGAUUUUUUUGACUGGCUAUUUCAGCUAGACUGAAAAUGAAAGAAAGGUCAACCAUGUCGUCAAGGUACACCUUGUGUUCGAGGGGAAGGCCUAUGGUGUUGUGAUUCAUUGUACACAUGUUACUCUUGGCAGAUCUCGCGCCUAAAGGAGUUCAUGGUGCCAUACAAGUUUGACUGAUGGAAAACUUGCACCCUGUGCUAACUCAGCUACGGCAGUCAUGAAUUGGACAACACCUGUGGCAUCACUCAUUGUGUGAUUCAAGCAAAACACAAAAAUAAGUUCUUCACACAUCAAGCGUGUAACCUGCAUUGAGUAUACAAAUGUAGGAGUUAACAUUGUGCUGUUUUGGAAUGUACUGUCAGUUGAUCAGCGAUUUAUGAAUUUGCGUACUUUAAUUAACAAGCUCAGCUAAUCCUGAACUAUCCUGUGUUUGACCUUUUAUAGCAUACUAAAGGGACAUUAAAAUCUUCUAGCAGUUCAUUCAUUUAAAAGCAUGCAAAAGAACUGACCUGGAUUCAUUGUACAACAAGCAUUAUAUUAUAAUAUGUUUCAUUACCUUUACGGGAUCCUUCCCUUCCAUUUCCACAUUGUUGCUGUAAAUGUAGUGUAGGUUUGAGAUCGGAAAGUUGGAGAAGAUGAUCGGAAAAGUGAGAGUUUGAGUGAAUCAAAGUGGCUGAACUAUCUGAGCAGUGAUAGCUGCCUACGUAUCUGGAAGGGGUCGAUCCAGAAUCAAGCCUAACGUAGUUCCUUAUAUAGGUGGCUUAGGGUGUGGAUCGAGUUAAUGACUCAACGUUCAAAUCAUAAAGUAUGCGGAUAUUCAGGGAUUCAAUGAGAGAGAUUCGUAACUGUCAUAAGAUUUGGGGUUUGAAUAUAUCGAACUCGGUGUUCAGAGUGAGAUAGCUCCAAGUCGGAUGUGCUCGGAUAUUUUAUGAGAUUAGGAUUUGAACAGAAGUGGAUGAAAUGUGGUUUUAUACGAAGUCGGAUAAAAUAGGUGCAAGGUCGGUGUUUAGUAUACCGAGUUAGUGAGAUUAGGAUUUGAAUGGAGAUGAGUGAAGUGUGAUUAGAUACGAAGUCGGAUGAAAUAAGUGUAAAGUCGGUGUUUGGCAUUCCGAGUAAGAGAACUCGGUAAUGGGUAUAUACAUAGCCCCUUUUCAUUUGGGCUGAAGGUAGGUAAUUGGCAUCAGGGUAAAUGAAAAUGAAGUCGGUUGUUAAGAUAUGUUCCAUGGAGUGCCAAGAGGACAAGAUUCCAUUGUGUGCUGAUGUAAAUGAUAGCUUAGAUUUUCAAGGCUUAGGGGCAUGAUUGCGCCUUGAGAUAUGUGUGUUGUCUGUAGACGUGUGGUUUGUAAAUUGGCUGUGUUUUGAAAAAUCGGACUUUGUUUGGUGGGAAACCGAAAGGUUGGGCGGUUAGAUUUAGAAAUCAAUAUCUGACCGUUCACGUUCGAUGCGAUGUGUGGCUGAGAUUCUGCACGGCUUUUUAUAUAACAAUCUGCUUGUAACUGCUGGAAAAACCAAGGGUUUACGCAUUGGCUUUUAAGGCUGCCGCUCAUUGUCUUGAAGGUAAUUCUCUUCUCUUCUCCGUUUUCUGUCUUUCUCCUUAUAAUUCUUGCCUGAUUUGCUUUGAAAGUUGUUGUUGUAUUUCCGUUCAAGUUGCCGGAGUUUCUUGCUUGAACUUUAUUUUGGUGUCUGCCUUUGCGUUUUCGCUUUUGUUUGUAGCCUUUUCUUUGAAUUUCUGUGUUGUUUUCUGCUUUCCGCCAUUGCUGCUCUGUAUUUGCUCUUCCUCUUUUUUUUUUUUUUUUUUAUUUUGGUGAAGAUGAGUACUGGUAGUGAGCGAGUUAGCCAGAAUAGUGGUGAGGGUGAGGCAAGUACUAGCCGAGCUGGAGAUGAGGAAGAGAUAAUUAGCCGAGAUGUUGAGAGAGCUCGGAAGGCCUACCGUAAGGUUAGAGCAGCGUACGACAUUAGGAUCCGAGAUCUGGAGAUGUAUAGGGUAGAUUGUAGGCUUUUCGACCUUGCUGGGGAUGACACCUCGACUUUGAUUUGUGAGGGCCAACUGCGAGCUGGGAUGCGACUUCCCUUCUCCAAGUUUGUUUGCGAUGUAUUGAACCAUUAUGACAAGGCUCCCAUUAUGAUGAAUAGUAGUUUCUGGAGAGUUAUGCUGAUAUUCGAGGAGUUGAAUAAGCUCGGUUAUGAUAUCUGCACGGCCGAUGUGGUGGCCUAUUUCACUUGUGUGGAGGGUCGGUCGGGCGACUUCUCUUUUUCGUUGAACAGGAGACUCGAACAUGGUCCUCACGAUCUCUUCAAUGCACCGAGUUCCAAUGAUAAUUGGAAAAAGUCGGCUUGUUAUAGGAUUAGGGGCUCCUUCUGCAAACCUAGUGUGUAUCUCAAGCACUUGCGCAUACCUAAGAUAGGUAGUAUGCUUGGUUGAAUGAUUUAUUAUUUUUACCCCUUAUCUGCUUACCUGGCUACCUUCUAACUCGCUUUUGCUAGGUGAUGUAGAUUAUACCCGAGAUUACAAUCAAAAGAUUGAGAGGCGCCUCCUUCCGGGUAACAUUCUCGAGUUUGCAGAAGAGUCUUGGGAACGCAAGCGUGAAAUCCUGCCUCAUCUUGCGCAUCUGUUUAAGGAUCCUCGUCCGAAAAAAGGUGCUGGCGGUGUGCGUACCGAGCCAUCGGCCUCGAAGGUAAAGAGAGUUAGAAAGAAAAAGGAUUUACCUACUGCUGUGGCAGUUGCCACAAUUGCUUUUCCUCGACCCGGAGAUCCACCUAUUGAGAUCCGAGCUGCUUUACCGAUGGCCCCAAAGCCUAUUCCUGGUCCACCAGGUAGCCAGUUCGGUAGGGGGGAUCUUGAGCUGGAGUCCUCGAAGAAGAGGAAAAGUUCCAAAUCGGCGGGAGUAACCGUGGUUGCUCCUGGUGUAACCAUUUUGAACGACGCUGAGAGAGCCGGGAAAGAGAGAGAGGCUCAGCGAGCUCGUCUCCAGCGAGAGAAGCAGCAGAAGCUCAAGUCGGUACAGCGUGAUGAUGAGGAUCCUCCGACUCGCCCUGCUGAUGGCCAUUUUGCUCCUAUCUUCCCUUACAAGGACACCUAUGUGAAAUUCAGUGAUGCUGCCUGGGAAAAUGAAGACAUGUGUAUCACCCUGAUGGAACACAUGGCUCUAGAUGCCGAUGGAGCUCGGGUUUGCGAGCGUUCGAUCAUGGACGACCUGAAGGACCUGAGUUCGUCUAUGUACAAGGUAGAUUCCCUUCAUUUUUACUAUUCCUUCCUUAAUAUUUUCGUUGUCUGACCUCGGGUGGUCUCUUGUUUCAGAUGAACAUUAUUCAUUGUAAGUGGAUGGCUCUGCUCGAGAGAGCUAAUGAGAAGGAAAGGGAGGCCAGGAACGCUAAGGAGGCUCUUGCUGCCGAGCGCAUCGAGUUGAAGAAGCUGCGCAGUCAGCUAGACAAGGAGGAGAAAAAAGUGAGGGCCCUCAACGACGAAGUGUUGGAGGCCAAUAAAAAAAAUGUCGAACUUGAUACCGAGCUGAAGGCUACCAAUGAAAGGUAUGAGGCUGAUAAUGCCAGCUCGGUUGAAAGCAUUACCGCUUGGCAGAAGAUGGCUUACUAUUGGCAGCGACGUGGAAUUUGUCGUGAGUUGAAGCUUAAGGAAGUCAUCCCCGACUUUGAUCCCUUAGCCGAUAAUGCGCAGAUUAAUGCUGAAGCCCAAGCCCAUUUCGAGGCCGAUCAACAAGUGGAGAGGGAGAGAGUUGCUAACCUGGCCAGUGAACUCGAGGGUGAUGAUCAAGAGGCCGAGGCUGGUGCGCAGGUUAACGAGAUCGGUGCGCAGGAGGGUCAAGAAACUGAGCCCAUGGAUCAUGAGGCUACUGCCUAGCUAGUUUGUUUUUUUUUUUUUUUUGUUUAAGAGGUGUGAGGUUUUUGUUUCUCGUUCAUUUCUGAAACAAGUACUUUAUUGUAUGAAACUAAAGUGGGAUAAUCUCGACUUAGGUCGGUCCUUCGAAUAUGAAUGGUUUAAAUAUAUCUCCUGUUUUGAAACAAGCUGUUUUAUCUAUGGAGAUAUUCUUUUGCAUGCCUGAAAUAUUCUAAGUAUAGAAUUGAUGUCUUGGCUUGAAGUGCGUAUUCUAUGGAAUGUACGCCUUAAGAUAUUUUUCAUUUCAUGGUCUAUCGACUCGGUUUCCUUCAUGAUCAAUUAAUCUGUACGCUCCAUUACCCAAGUCGGAUUGAAUAAUGUAGGGCCCUUCCCAAUUGGGAUUGAAUUUUCCAUCACCCGCAACCUUGGUGUUCUGAAAUGUUUGUCUUAAGACCAAAUCUCCUAGUCGGAAAGUCCUUGGCCUUACUCUUUGAUUGUAGCUCCUCCUUAAUAUUUGUUGGUAACGAGCUGUUUGUAUGAUAGCCUUAUCUCGCCUUUCUUCCAACAUGUCUACCUCAUGCGCUAGGAGAUUCUCGUUUUCAGCUGAUUCUACCAAUUCCGACCUUGUUGUUAAGUAUGUCAACUCGGUGGGUAUAACAGCUUCAGUGCCAUAGCAUAGUGCGAACGGUGAAACGCCUGUCGAGGUGCGUGGAGUCGUUCUAUAGGCCCAUAGGACUCUAUCUAGCUCCUGUAUCUACUUAUCUUUUUCCGCUUCUAACUUUUUCUUGAGUGUAUUCAUUAUUGUCUUGUUAGUGGCUUCAGCUUGACCAUUACUUUGUGCGUAUCGUGGUGUAGAUAAUGCGUGAUUGAUUCGCCAAUCCGAGUAAAACUCCUUAAUCGUGUUCCCACAAAAUUGUUGGCCAUUAUCAGUGACCAAUGUGUGUGGUAGGCCAAAUCGGGUGAUUAUGUAUUUCCAGAUGAAAUUCUUGACUUCUUGUUGUCUAAUUUUCCGAAGUGGAAUUGCCUCUACCCAUUUAGUAAAGUAAUCGGUGGCAACUAAGAGAUAUCGCUUUUUGUUCUUAUCCUUCGAAAGCGGCCCCACUAUAUCGAACCCCCACAUGGCAAAUGGCCAUGGGCUAGAUAUCGUCUUGAGAUCUCUCGGGGGUUGGUUUUUUAGGGGUGAGAAGCGUUGACAUUUGUCACAAUGUUGCACAAAGAUCUCCGAGUCGGCCUGCUUGUAAGGCCAGAAGUAGCCCUGAUUUCUUGCUUUCUGUGCUAGGGAACGAGCAUGGUUUCCACACUCUCCUUGUUGAAUUUCUGCUAGGAUCAUCUGUUUGCGAGCCAGUCAGGAUAUUUGACUUCCCUUAUAAACUUGGCAUCGAUGAGUUUUUGGACCUCGGUGUUGACGGCCUUAGUUAAAUGUGUUGCCAACUUCCGAGCCUUCUGUUUUACUGGUCUUUUUGUGGGAUCCACAUUCAGUUUGUGGCAUGCUAUAUUAACAUCUAUUCCUGGCAUGUCAAUGUACGACCAAGCAAAAAUAUUCUUAUUCAAUUUCAAAGUGGCAACAAGUUGCUCUUUUACAAUAGGAUCUAAGUUUUCUCCUACAUAAACAAUUUUAGGCUCAACUAUAGUGCCUAUAUUAACUGGUUCGCCCUUCUCUAUGGUCGGGGGAUCGAGUGGCUCAGUGAUGGCCUUGCCUUCAGUGGCUUCAGAAGUCGGCUCAGUAGUGGCCUUGCCGUCAGUGGCUUCAGAGAUUGGCUCAAUAGUGGCCAUGCCGUCAGUGGCUUCAGAAGUCGGCUCAGUAGUGGCCUUGUCGUCAAUGGCUUCAGAAGUCGGCUCAGUAGUGGCCUUGCCGUCAGUGGCUUCAGAGAUUGGCUCAAUAGUGGCCAUGUCGUCGGUGGCUGCAGAAGUCGGCUCAGUACUGGCCUUGCCGUCAGUGGCUUCAGAAAUCUGGUUGACAGUGAGCUUUUCAGAGCUAACGACUGCCACCUUCGUUAUUUCCUUGUUGGGGAGGGGUAUGACCUCAGGAAUGGCGUGGCAGCCAUGCGCCUCGAUUUGGUCACCCCGAAGUUCCAUUAUACCAUUAGGUCCAGGGAAUUUGAUAACCUGGUGGUAAGUAGAUGAAACAGCUCCCAUUUUGUGAAUCCAUUUCCGACCCAGGAUAGCAUUGAAUUGCGUGGGGACAUCGAGGACAUAAAAGAGGCAUUCAACCGUGACCUCAUCCACAUUUUCCCCAGUAGCGACAGGGAGGGUGAGCUGACCUUUUGCCGUUGUCUCUGUCGAGUUGAAAGCGAAGAGAGUGACAUUGGGAGUCUGCAAGACUGAAUCGGGCAUAAGCAUCUGAGCGAAAGCUUUGUUAAACAAGACGUCACAAGAGCUUCCUGGGUCUAUCAGCACUCUCUUAGUGGUCCAUCCACCAAGUCUGAUAUGGACUACGAGUGCAUCAUUGUGUGGCAAACACACCUUCUUCAAAUCGUAGUCAGAAAAGAUCAGUGCAUUCUUUCCUUGCACCUGCUUGGCUAUUAUUGCCUGAUGAGUGAGCUGAAAUAUGUGGUGAAUAUGAUUCACCUUCUGUCGCUUAGCUCGGGAUGUCCAUUCAGGUGGAUGUGUAUCCAUGAUCAUGUUUAUUGUUCCUUUUGCCUUUGAGGCGUUGUCCGUUCUCUUGCGUUUGUCAUUAAUCUUUUGGCGGAGGUCGUCUGACUCUUCUGCCAAGAAAUCAUUCCAGUGUCCAUCCAUCUUGAGCUGGUGGCAAUAAGUUCGGAGAUACCAACAGUCUUCUGUUGCAUGAUGUCGGCAAUUAUGCAACUUGCAGUACGGGUUUUCCUCAAUAGGUUCAAGCUCCUGAAUUGUUGGCUUGAAGUAGUCUUCUUCUUUGAUUAAUUCAUAUAGUUGCGUAUAUAAACAUUUGAACGGGUUAGGAAACCUGUGUUUCACCGAGCUGUUAGAUUGCUUCCCUCGGUAGGUACUCUUUGUUGUUUUCAGCUCGGGAGGUUUGGACUUGACCAUCUGUACGGCAGAGACAUGUUCUCUCGUUUUUGCCAGUGCCUCUUCGAGUUUAAUGUACUUAUCAGCACGGACAUAUAGAUCCUCCAGUGUCUGUGGUGCGUCUAAGAUGAGAUUUUUUCCCAAGGCGGUUUCGGGGUGAACCGCCGAGAUAAACGCUAAUAGGCAUGCGUUCUCAUCUGGGCUAUCUGUCUUGAGGCACUCCUUCUUAAAGCGAGCCAUGAAUUUUUUGGUUGUUUCGGUGUCACUCUGCUUAAGUCGGAAUAGUGCAGUUACCUCAAUUUUUCGCCGCUUGUUGUGGAUAUAUUGGGUGACGAAGAGUGUUUCGAGCUGGUCAUACGACGUGAUUGAGCGUUCUGGAAGUCGGUGGUACCAGUCGAUAGCACUACCUCGGAGUGAGGCAGAAAAGAGCCUGCAGAAGAUGUCCUUGUACUUGGGCCACAGUGUCAUGCUGGUUUUGAACUGUAGGACAUGGUCCAUGGGGUCACCACUUCCAUCAUAGGUUGUGAAUUUGGGGGGAAUGAAGUGUGGGGGUGGUUCCUGGUGCAGAAGGUCAUCGUGCAAGGGCUCUGUCCUGUACUUCUCAAGAGUGGUGUUGGCCACUUUUUGGGAGGUAUUGGCUUUAACGGACUCCUGAUGGUUCUUGUCUAAUUUGGCUGAGAGUUGCAGGAGACGAUUGUGUGUUUCCUGCAUUUCAGCCAUGGUGGGAGCGGUGGUGUUGCUGGAAGUGGGGAUAAUAGGGUUGUUGGUGUUGAUUUCAUCAGUGGUGUGACCGUUUGCCGGUGGAAUGGUGGUGCUUUGAGUUGAGCAUUUUCUGAAAGUAACUUGUUUAUCUAUUCUUGUUGCUCACUGAGUUGCUUUUGGAUUGUUUCGAACUGUUCUUGUGUGACUCCAGCCAUGGUCUCCGUCAGGUUAUGUUCGUUCACAGUCAGUCGGCGCCAAUGUAAAUGUAGUGUAGGUUUGAGAUCGGAAAGUUGGAGAAGAUGAUCGGAAAAGUGAGAGUUUGAGUGAAUCAAAGUGGUUGAACUAUCUGAGCAGUGAUAGCUGCCUACGUAUCUGGAAGGGGUCGAUCCAGAAUCAAGCCUAACGUAGUUCCUUAUAUAGGUGGCUUAGGGUGUGGAUCGAGUUAAUGACUCAACGUUCAAAUCAUAAAGUAUGCGGAUAUUCAGGGAUUCAAUGAGAGAGAUUCGUAACUGUCAUAAGAUUUGGGGUUUGAAUAUAUCGAACUCGGUGUUCAGAGUGAGAUAGCCCCAAGUCGGAUGUGCUCGGAUAUUUUAUGAGAUUAGGAUUUGAACAGAAGUGGAUGAAAUGUGGUUUUAUACGAAGUCGGAUAAAAUAGGUGCAAGGUCGGUGUUUAGUAUACCGAGUUAGUGAGAUUAGGAUUUGAAUGGAGAUGAGUGAAGUGUGAUUAGAUACGAAGUCGGAUGAAAUAAGUGUAAAGUCGGUGUUUGGCAUUCCGAGUAAGAGAACUCGGUAAUGGGUAUAUACAGUUGCGAUGAACAUGUAUCACAACCAUCAAGAUUUGAAAGCGUUUUGAAUUCAUUUGGUGUUGGUUUAGCGUGAGGAAUCAGUUCAAGUUUGUGUAUUUGUACUGUGUAGGCUAAGGAGGAAGUUAAUUAAUGUUGUGGUUGGCAUUAAGUUAAUAUAUCAUUUAAUAGAACUUCAGACAGUAUUAAGAUGUAUUUAGUGUAAAUACUACUCCUUCCGUUCCAAAUUAUAAGUACAUUAUAGAAAAUUCAACUUAUUAAGGGAACAUCAUGUAUUAGUUUGUCUGCUAACUAUAUUUUCAAAGUUACCCUUAAUCAAUAUUAAUUGCAAUGAUAAAUUUUCACUUCUUUAAUGUGUAAUAUAAACAAAAGAGCAAAGGUUAUAUAGGUAAAAAAAGCCUUGAAAUAUGGAAAGUGACAUAUAUUUUGGGACAGUCAAAAAAAGAAUAAUGUACUUAUAAUUUGGGACGGAAGGAGUACCUAGGAGGAUAUCUACAAUGAGGUUGGUUAUAUGGAUGCCAUCGGAUAUAAUGGAAAUUGGUUAAUGUAGCAAUAAGUUAAUGUUUGGCACAAUCUUGGCAUUGUUCAUUCCCACCAGACUGCCAGAGAGAGAAUUUUUUUGGUACCUAACGCUUAGGACCAAACACGGUCCAAAGCAUCUAUUAACCAUACAUUACAAUAAUCUACACAAAUUUUGAGGUUUUGUAUAAUGAUGGUUCUUGAGAUUUGUAUAGAUUAUUGAUUUGUGUGCUAGAUGGAUGGUUUGGAGCAUUCUAAGCGAUAUGGAUUGAAGAUUUGCCUAGUUUGGUCCAUAUAGACAUCUUUCCGACAACCAUGCUACCCUGAAUUGAGCGACUAGUAUGAUUCUGCUCCAAAGUUUUGAAAUUGAGUAGUUUUUUCUUAUUUUCCAAUUAGGUGGUUGGAGUUUUAAUGUCUUUGUUUGAUGUUUGAAUUUUAAUGUUAUAAACUUGGAAGUGAUAAUAUAUGUAUAUAAUUCUUUGGCAUCAUACUUUAUGGUAGCAAGUAGUGGAGUUAGUUGUGAGCAUUGAUAGCAGUAUUCCAGUGAAUACAUAAACCCUGGAGAUGGAUAAGCUCUCACCUACAGAUUAAGGAGUUCUACACGGAGGUUACUCAAACAACUCUAUGUGCUACAACAUAUGUAGUUGACAGGGAAACUAUCUGUCUUAGCACAGAUGGUUCACUCACAGAAGAAAGGGCAGGAGUAGGUGGCAUUUUCAGAGAUUAUGCAGGUAACACUCUAAUGGCUUUAUUUGGAGGCACAAAGAAAACAACAAUCGCAGCCAGUGAAAUGGAGGCUAUUGUAACUGGUAUGCAGUUGGCUGCUGAGUGCUGAUAUGGGCUAUAAGAGGCUAAAGUUGGGGUUGACCAAUAAACAAGCAGUCGAUGGCUUUCAAUGGUACACGACCCCAUCAUGGAAAGCAAGAAGAUAUGUGAACCGAGCUAGGCAUCUUGGACAAGGACUGGAAAAGAUCACAGUGCACCACAUCUAUAAGGAAUCUAAUAGAUGUGCUGAUUACCAAGAAGGUUUACCAUCUAGGUACGACAGAUCCUUUUAUGUAUUUCAAGAAAAUUUUGUAGGGUACCAGAACCUGGCUAUAACAUUAUCUUCCCUAUGCACCUCUUUCAUAUGCAAAACUUUGUGUUGCUUUUGACACUUGAAUUCAAGCUUGGAAUGAUACUCUUUAAACGUACUGCAACAACUUUUCAAAUACCACUUUUAGGCUUGC
rnacentral:lncRNA from 1 species